rnacentral:hammerhead_ribozyme from 1 species
ACCCAGCAGGCGAGUCCUGAAUAGGAUGAAACACGUGUCCUGGAU